UUAGAUACCCGGGUAGUCCCAGCUGUAAACGAUGCAGGCUAGGUGUUAGGGCGGCUACGCGCCGCUCUAGUGCCUCAGGGAAGCUGUUAAGCCUGCCGCUUGGGGAGUACGGCCGCAAGGCUGAAACUUAAAGGAAUUGGCGGUGGGAGCACCACAAGGGGUGAAGCUUGCGGUUUAAUUGGAGUCAACGCCGGAAAUCUCACCGGGGGCGACAGCAGAAUGAAAGCCAGAUUAAAGGUCUUGCCAGACGAGCUGAGAGGAGGUGCAUGCCGUCGCCAGUUCGUGCCGUGAGGUGUCCUGUUAAGUCAGGCAACGAUCGAGACCCGUAUCCCCCGUUGUACCAGUCUUGAGCUGGGCACACUGGGGAGACCGCCGCCGAUAAGGCGGAGGAAGGAGCGGGCCACGGCAGGUCAGUAUGCCCCGAAUCUCCCGGGCCACACGCGAGCUGCAAUGGCAGGUACAGUGGGUUCCGACCUCGAAAGGGGAAGGAAAUCCCGAAAGCCUGCCGUAGUUGGGAUCGAGGGUUGAAACCCACCCUCGUGAACAUGGAAUCCUAGUAAUCGCGCGUCACUAGCGCGCGGUGAUAAUCCCUGCUGCGGUGCACUCACCGCC
rnacentral:rRNA from 1 species